rnacentral:lncRNA from 1 species
UUAUUGGUAACGUGGGUGGGAAAAUCGAGUGCUGAUAAUACUUGGUUGCCUUAUCAGGAGUUCGUCGAGCAGUUUCCAGAUUACAAGCUUGAGGGCAAGCUUGGUUUUGUUGGGGGAGGUAUUGAUAGGUUCAAGAAGGCUUACUUCAGGAGGAAGAAAGGAAAGGAAGCGAGACACGAGAGGGAAAGGAGUGACGUGGCAGGAGCCGUUGGAAGUUCAGAAUAAAGAAGAGAAGAAGCAAAGACUCUGAGGGAGGGAGAGGGUUUGCCGUUAGUCUGUUAUGAGUCUGUAACGGGAGUAUAUAAGUAGGAAGCUAGUGAGCGUAAAGGGUAUGCUUGUUGUUGUAUGUUCUUGGACGUUAUGAGUCUAGAAUACACAGUCGUUAUGAGACUGGUGAUCGGAGCUUACUCGCUAUGAGAGUAUUGCUUUAGAUCACACUCAAGCUAUUCUUGUAUUUCUCAUUGAUAGUAAAGAAGUAUUCCUUUGUUCAUUCAGUUACAGAUAGCUAAAGUCUAUCAUUGGUGCAGUGAAACUGGUUCGAAUCAACGCGAUGAGGUCCCCGACGGCGACUCCGGCGAGUCCGCAACGUCCGACUGCAGCGGAUGAGCCUGAGACGACGAUGCAAGAUGAGGUGGUGUUCUUGCGAGAAGGUUACACGGUGUUGAUGAAUCAAGUUGCGGAGAACAAGAUGCGAUUCUCACGACUCGAAGAUCAUUUCCAGGAGAUUAUGAAGACGCUAGGGAAACGACCGGUCACGGAGACGUCUCCGGCGGAAAAUCGCCGAUCUGUUCCUGAAUCAUCGAAUCACAACCAUCAGGUACCGAAUCGAAUCUGGGAACAAUAUCCGGAAGAAUCGCAGCUAGGUUAUCGAUCUGGUUAUUUGAAUACUGCGAAUCGUGACAGUAUGAUCAAGAAGAUUGAGAUGCCGAGAUUCAACGGUACCAAUGCGAUUGAUUGGAUUGUUGAAGUGGAACAUUUCUUCGAGGUUGGGCGUUUUCGUGAUUCAGAACGCUUGGAUCUGAUUGCGUUUGCUGUGGAAGAUAAGGCCAAGAAGUGGUUUGCUUGGGUACGGAAACGAGAAGGAUUUCGUGAUUGGGUGGACUUCAAGCAUCAGCUGGUUAUCAGGUUCGCGGAAUCGAUUGACGAUGAGCCAGAAACUCGUUUGUUCUCGAUUAAGCAGACUGGUUCCGUAGCAGACUAUGUAUCAGAAUUUGAGGAACUUUCGUCUCAAGUGUCAGGGUUGGAUGAUAAGCACUUGGAGAGGAUAUUUUACAAUGGUUUGACACAAGAGAUGAAAGAAGUGAUAAGAAUGAAAGAUCCUCAAGGCUUACCACAGUUCAUAGCAGCGGUAUUGAGAAUGGAAACAAGUGUCUUUUGUAAGGUGGUGAGUGGAGUUAAGAAGGAAGAAAACAAACAAGGGACACAACGCGGGCCAUCAGGAGGCAGAGUGUACAACAAUGGAGCUCUUCCUAAACUCCAGGACACGAGAGGUAACAAAGAGAAUCAAGGAGGGAAGAACACAGUUCGUCCUAGACAACAAUACACAGAUGCCGAGUUGGAUAAGAUGAGAAAAGAUAAGAUUUGUUUCCGCUGUAAAGCUCCAUGGUCAGUCACACACAGAUCUGAAUGUCCGAAUAGAGCUUUACGCGUGAUGACUGUAAUCAAUGGUCUACAGCUGGAAGUGGUUGAUCAGAACACGGGAGAGGAUGAAGAUCAAGAGAAUAUUACGUGUUAUGAUCAAGAACUUCGUACAUUGUCUUUGAAUUCAUUCUUCGGAUUGGACUCACCAAGGACAAUGAAGCUGAAAGGUUGUAUUAACAACAAAGAGGUGAUAGUCAUGCUCGAUAGCGGAGCUUCGCACAAUUUUAUUUCUCCAAAGAUUGUGGACAGGCUGCACUUGAAAGUGUGUGCUGAUAGCAGCCUCGACGUGUUACUGGGCAAUGGUGUUACAGUCAAAGCAGGGGGAACCUGUAAAGCUGUUACAUUAAUGCUUAAUCAUACCGAGUUCACGUCGGACUUCAUCUCUUUAGAACUGGGAAACGUGGAUGUAAUCCUUGGAGUUCAGUGGCUGGAAACACUUGGCACAUGCGAGGUUGAUUGGAAGCAACAAGUAUGGUCAUUUGUUUAUGAAGGACAGCGAGUUACACUGUAUGGCGAUGAGUCCCUGCAUUGUAAUAAGCUCUCUUUCAAGUCACUAGCUCCAAUAUAUCUUGGAAAACAUCAAGAAGGUGGAGUGCUGUUGUUUUCCUCGAGCGUUACAUCCAUGAAACCAGAGAAUAAUCCAUCAGAAUCUUGCACUACGAGUUCACUUUUAACAUCGCUGUUAGAAGAUUUCGAAGAUGUUUUUGCCAUACCGACAGGUUUACCACCACUCAGAGGCAAAGAACAUUCGAUAGUGUUGAAACCAGGGAUAUCUUCAGUCUCAGUGAGACCGUAUCGAUAUCCACAUGCAAGCAAGAUUGUGAUGGAACAAAUGGUGACAGAUAUGCUAUCAUCAGGAAUAAUACGACCGAGUAACAGUCCCUUUUCGAGCCCCGUCUUAUUGGUCAAGAAGAAGGACGGUUCUUCGCGGUUUUGUAUUGACUAUAGAGCUCUCAAUAGAGUCACAAUUCCUGAUAAAUAUCCCAUUCCUGUCAUCGAUCAGUUGCUGGAUGAAUUACAUGGGGCUGCAGUUUUCACUAAGUUGGAUCUGCGCUCUGGUUAUCAUCAAAUUCGGAUGGCUGAAGAUGAUAUUAAGAAGACUGCUUUCAGAACCUUGGAGGGCAAUUACGAAUUUUUGGUUAUGCCGUUCGGUUUAACAAACGCUCCAGCAACAUUUCAAGCGCUAAUGAAUCAAAUUUUCAAGCCGUUUCUGCGAAAAUUUGUUCUCGUAUUCUUUGAUGAUAUUCUAAUCUUCAGCAAGAAUAUGUCAGAACAUGUAGAACACUUGAGAUUGGUACUACAAGUGUUACGGGAACAGAAGCUAUUCGCCAAUAAAAAGAAAUGUUCUUUUGGAACUUCACAAGUGGAUUAUCUUGGCCAUAUCAUUUCAAAGAAGGGUGUCGCAACAGAUAGUUUGAAAACAGAGGCGAUGAAUCAGUGGCCAGUACCAAAGAAUAUCAAACAGCUCCGGGGUUUUUUGGGUUUGACUGGUUACUAUCGACGGUUCAUACGGCUUUAUGGAGUCAUGGCUAAACCGUUGACAUCACUUCUGAAGAAAGAUCAGUUUGAUUGGAAGAGGGAAGCUCAGUUGGCGUUUGAGACAUUGAAGCGAGCAAUGGUGUCAGCCCCUGUGUUAGCAUUACCGGAUUUCAAUAAGAAGUUUGUUGUCGAGUCAGACGCUUCAGGUAUAGGAGUUGGGGCAGUCUUGAUGCAAGAUAAUCAACCAAUAGCCUAUUUCAGCCAUGCUCUUACGGGCAGAGAACAGCUUAAGCCAGCGUAUGAAAGGGAGUUGAUGGCUAUUGUCAUGGCCGUAAGGAAAUGGAAACAUUAUUUGAUAGGUCGCAGAUUUGAGGUGCUGACAGAUCAUAGAAGCUUGAAGUUUCUGCUAGAACAGAAAGAAGUUAAUUUGGAAUAUCAGAAAUGGUUGACAAAGCUGUUGGGGUUCGAUUUUGAGAUUUCUUAUAAACCAGGAUGUGAGAACAAAGCGGCUGACGGUUUGUCUCGGUGUAUGUCGGUUUCAUCAUUGUUGCUCGCACUAACGAUGCCUUCAGCACUGCAAUGGCAAGAUUUGGAUAAAGAAUGUGCGCAGGACCCUUACAUUCAGCAGACGAUACAAAAGCUACAACAAGGUACAUUACAGUCUGGAAAAUUACGGGUCAGUGAUGGCAGAUUGUGGUCUAAACAGCGGUUAGUAAUUGCGGGAGCUUCAAAGUUUAUUCCGCUGAUAUUAUCGGAGUGUCAUGACAGCAAAGUGGGAGGACAUUCCGGGGUUCUAAAAACAUUGAAACGGGUACAACGGUCUUUUUAUUGGAACAAGAUGUAUCAGACAGUGCAGGAAUAUGUGGCGAGUUGUGGUAUUUGUCAGACACACAAGCACUCAACUCUGUCUCCAGUGGGUCUUCUUCAACCAUUACCAAUUCCGGAGAGAGUUUGGGAGGAUAUAAAUAUGGACUUUAUCGAAGGUUUACCGACGUCAAAUGGUGUGAAUGUGAUAUUGGUGGUCAUUGACAGAUUGAGUAAGUAUGCACAUUUCAUUGCAUUGCAUCAUCCGUUUACUUCAACAGAUGUGGCGAGAAUUUUUAUAAGAGAUAUUGUGAAAUUACAUGGGUUUCCAAGGAGCAUUACUUCAGAUCGAGACAGGAUCUUCCUCAGUACCUUCUGGACAGAAACUUUUAGAUUGGCAGAUACUAAGCUUAAGUAUAGCACUGCGUUUCAUCCUCAAACGGAUGGACAAUCCGAAGUUUUGAACAGAUGUCUUGAGACGUAUCUGCGUUGUUUUGCUUCUGAACAUCCGCGCACUUGGUCGAAGUUUUUAUCAUGGGCAGAACUAUGGUACAACACCACAUUUCACAGUGCUCUGCAGGCAACUCCAUUCACGGUUCUUUAUGGUCGUGAACCUCCGUCGUUGUUACCAUUUGAACCGGGAUCUACAAAGAAUUUUGAGUUGGAACAAUCGUUACUGGCGCGGGAUGAGAUGUUGAUAACAUUGAAGAAAACGUUAGCUCGAGCUCAACAGGUUAUGAAGGAACAGGCAGAUAAGCACCGCAGAGAUGUCCAUUUCGCGGUAGGGGAUAUGGUGUAUCUGAAGUUGCGGCCUUAUCGUCAACAGUCAGUCGUGAAGAGAUUUUGUCAGAAGUUAGCAGCAAAAUACUAUGGACCGUAUCAGGUGACAGAACGGAUAGGUAAUGCAGCGUAUAGGCUGUUGUUGCCGGAGUCUUCGAAGAUACAUCCGGUGUUUCAUGUCUCUCAGUUGAAGUUGGCCAUAAAUCCGCAGGAACAAGUAUUAGACCUACCUCAAGUGUGUUUAGGACCGGAUCAGAUCGAGUUGGAACCUGCUGAAGUGCUGGAUAAGCGCUAUGAUUCACGCGGUGUUUUGGAGUUAUUGGUAACGUGGGUGGGAAAAUCGAGUGCUGACAAUACUUGGUUGCCUUAUCAGGAAUUCGUCGAGCAGUUUCCAGAUUACAAGCUUGAGGGCAAGCUUAGUUUUGUUGGGGGAGGUAUUGAUAGGUUCAAGAAGGCUUACUUCAGGAGGAAGAAAGGAAAGGAAGCGAGACGCGAGAGGGAAAGGAGUGACGUGGCAGGAGCCGUUGGAAGUUCAGAAUAAAGAAGAGAAGAAGCAAAGACUCUGAGGGAGGGAGAGGGUUUGCCGUUAGUCUGUUAUGAGUCUGUAACGGGAGUAUAUAAGUAGGAAGCUAGUGAGCGUAAAGGGUAUGCUUGUUGUUGUAUGUUCUUGGACGUUAUGAGUCUAGAAUACACAGUCGUUAUGAGACUGGUGAUCGGAGCUUACUCGCUAUGAGAGUAUU